UACGUAGGGUCCGAGCGUUGUCCGGAGUUACUGGGCGUAAAGCGCGCGCAGGCGGCCCGCGAGGUGUCACGUGAAAGCCCCGGGCUCAACUCGGGAGGGUCGUGGCAAACCGGCGGGCUUGAGGCCGGUAGAGGUGGGUGGAACUCCUGGUGGAGUGGUGAAAUGCGUAGAGAUCAGGAAGAACACCCGUGGCGAAGGCGGCCCACUGGGCCGGUGCUGACGCUGAGGCGCGAAGGCUGGGGGAGCAAACGGG
rnacentral:rRNA from 1 species